AUUGAUGGGAAUAAAGUUACUUUGGAC
rnacentral:piRNA from 1 species